rnacentral:rRNA from 1 species
AGAGUUUGAUCAUGGCUCAGAACGUACGCUGGCGGCACGCCUAACACAUGCAAGUCGAACGAAGUAGCAAUACUUAGUGGCAGACGGGUGAGUAACAUGUGGGUAUCUACCCUUUGGCCUGGAAUAACACGAGGAAACUUGUGCUAAUACCGGAUAAGUCUUUACGGAGAAAGCUUUAUGCACCAUUGGAUGAGCCCGCACUUGAUUAGUUUGUUGGUAGGGUAAUGGCCUACCAAGACUAUGAUCAAUAGCUGAUUUGAGAGGAUGAUCAGCCACAUUGGGACUGAGACACGGCCCAAACUCCUACGGGAGGCAGCAGUGGGGAAUCUUGCACAAUGGAGGAAACUCUGAUGCAGCGAUGCCGCGUGAGUGAAGAAGGCCUUUGGGUUGUAAAGCUCUUUCGUCGGGGAAGAAAAUGACUGUACCCGAAUAAGAAGGUCCGGCUAACUUCGUGCCAGCAGCCGCGGUAAUACGAAGGGACCUAGCGUAGUUCGGAAUUACUGGGCUUAAAGAGUUCGUAGGUGGUUGAAAAAGUUGGUGGUGAAAUCCCAGAGCUUAACUCUGGAACUGCCAUCAAAACUUUUCAGCUAGAGUAUGAUAGAGGAAAGCAGAAUUUCUAGUGUAGAGGUGAAAUUCGUAGAUAUUAGAAAGAAUACCAAUUGCGAAGGCAGCUUUCUGGAUCAUUACUGACACUGAGGAACGAAAGCAUGGGUAGCGAAGAGGAUUAGAUACCCUCGUAGUCCAUGCCGUAAACGAUGUGUGUUAGACGUUGGAAAUUUAUUUUCAGUGUCGCAGGGAAACCGAUAAACACACCGCCUGGGGAGUACGACCGCAAGGUUAAAACUCAAAUGAAUUGACGGGGACCCGCACAAGUAGUGGAGCAUGUGGUUUAAUUCGAAGAUACGCGCAGAACCUUACCAACACUUGACAUGUUCGUCGCGACUCU